rnacentral:rRNA from 1 species
CCUACGGGGGGCUGCAGUGGGGGAUAUUGGACAAUGGGGGGAACCCUGAUCCAGCGACGCCGCGUGAGUGAAGAAGUAUUUCGGUAUGUAAAGCUCUGUCAGCAGGGAAGAAAGAAAUGACGGUACUUGACCAAGAAGCCCCGGCUAACUACGUGCCAGCAGCCGCGGUAAUACGUAGGGGGCAAGCGUUAUCCGGAAUUACUGGGUGUAAGGGGAGCGUAGACGGUUAAGUAAGUCUGGAGUGAAAGGCCGGGGCGCAACCCCGGGACUGCUCUGGAAACUAGUGUACUUGAGUGCAGGAGAGGUAAGCGGAAUUCCUGGUGUAGCGGUGAAAUGCGUAGAUAUUAGGAGGAACACCAGUGGCGAAGGCGGCUUACUGGACUGUAACUGACGUUGAGGCUCGAAAGCGUGGGGAGCAAACAGGAUUAGAUACCCUUGUAGUC